AUGGCGUAAACGUUCUCCGCUGCC
rnacentral:siRNA from 1 species